rnacentral:rRNA from 1 species
AUUGAACGCUGGCGGCAUGCUUUACACAUGCAAGUCGAACGGUAACAGGCCUUCGGGUGCUGACGAGUGGCGAACGGGUGAGUAAUGCAUCGGAACGUACCCAGAGGUGGGGGAUAACGCAGCGAAAGCUGUGCUAAUACCGCAUGUGAUCUGAGGAUGAAAGCGGGGGACCGAGCAGCAAUGUUUGGCCUCGCGCCUUUGGAGCGGCCGAUGUCGGAUUAGCUAGUUGGUGGGGUAAAGGCCUACCUAGGCGACGUUCCGUAGCUGGUCUGAGAGGACGAUCUGCCACACUGGGACUGAGACGCGGACCAGACUCCUACGGGAGGCAGAAGUGUGGAAGUUUGGACAAUGGGCGCAUGCCUGAUACAGUAAUGGCGGGUGCGGGAAGAAAGCCUUCGGGUUUUAAACCGCUUUUGGCAGGAACGAAACGGUGUCCGCAAAUACCGGGCGCUAAUGACGGUACCUGCAGAAUGAGCACCGACUAGCUACGUG